CCUACGGGAGGCAGCAGUGAGGAAUAUUGGUCAAUGGGCGAGAGCCUGAACCAGCCAAGUCGCGUGAGGGAUGACGGCCCUACGGGUUGUAAACCCCUUUUGCCGGGGAGCAAAGGGCGCCACGUGUGGCGCCACUGAGAGUACCCGGAGACAAAGCCUCGGCAAAAUCCGUGCCAGCAGCCGCAGUCAUACGGAGGAUGCGAGCGUUAUCCGGAUGUGUUGGGGUUUAAGGGUGCGUAGGCGGAUCGUACAGACAGUGGUCAAAUGGAGGGGCUCAAACCCUUCCCGGCAUUGAAACUGGCGAUCUUGAGUGGAAGAGAAGUAAGCGGAAUGCGUGGUGUAGCGGUGAAAUGCAUAGAUAUCACGCAGAACCCCGAUGGCGAAGGCAGCAAGCCGGCUUCCGACUGACGCUGAAGCACGAAAGCGUGGGGAUCGAACAGGAUUAGAUACCCUGGUAGUC
rnacentral:rRNA from 1 species